AGUAACGAGCCGUUCAAACUUGUGUCAAGGUGUGGAUCACAGAGGCUGGGGGUCAAGAGGGAAGAGAAAUACAGCGACAAAUGGAAGGCUCUCCCUCAUUAGAGACACAGCCACCAGCAGAGACAAUCAGGGGGUGCUCAGGGAUGUAGGCUGUAGGGCUCCAGGCUCUGAGUUGAGGAAAAUUGGAGUUAAAUUUCAGUGAAGUAACCCUGAGCAAGUCAGUCUCUGUCCAUCAGGUUCUUUUGUUUGUAAAAUGGAGGUAGCCAUGAGGAUUGUUCUGAGAAUGAGUUAAAUGGAAAGAUAUGCUCAAGAUGCCAGCGCAAAGCCAGAGACUCAAGGUUCGCAGCUGGUUGGAGCAAACCUCAAUGUCAGUGUGAAUCUUCCACCAUGGGAUUCAAGCUGCCUUGGCUCUAAAGUAAGAUCACAGCUGCAGUGAGCUGACCCCAACUCAAGAUGGAACCAUCUUAGAACAAGGUCUUAGGAUAAAAAGCCAAAGCUCUCUAAUGUGUUCUGUGAUAAAGAAGACUAUGGAACUGACAGUCCAAACCGAGAAACUGGGGAGAGAGAGGAGGCAUUAUUGUCAAC
rnacentral:lncRNA from 1 species